GAAAUGCGAUAAGUAAUGUGAAUUGCAGAAUUCAGUGAAUCAUCGAAUCUUUGAACGCACAUUGCGCCCGCCAGUAUUCUGGCGGGCAUGCCUGUUCGAGCGUCAUUUCAACCAUCAAGCCCCCGGCUUGUGUUGGGGACCUGCGGCUGCCCGCGGGCCCUGAAAAACAGUGGCGGGCUCGCUGUCACACCGAGCGUAGUAGCAUACAUUCUCGCUCAGGGCGUGCUGCGGGUUCCGGCCGUUAAACGACCUUCAUAACCCAAGGUUGACCUCGGAUCAGGUAGGAAGACCCGCUGAACUUAAGC
rnacentral:misc_RNA from 1 species